GUAGUCUGCAACUCGACUACAUGAAGCUGGAAUCGCUAGUAAUCGCGAAUCAGAAUGUCGCGGUGAAUACGUUCCCGGGUCUUGUACACACCGCCCGUCACACCAUGGGAGUCAGUAACGCCCGAAGUCAGUGACCCAACCGGAACAGGAGGGAGCUGCCGAAGGUGGGACCGAUAACUGGGGUGAAGUCGUAACAAGGUAGC
rnacentral:rRNA from 1 species